ACAUGUGUGCGCGGCAGUGAGACUGUGGGGGAUAAGCUUCAUAGUCGAGAGGGAAACAGCCCAGAUCGCCGGUUAAGGCCCCUAAGGGUGUACUAAGUGGAAAAGGAUGUGUAAUCGCGAAGACAGCCAGGAGGUUGGCUUAGAAGCAGCCACCCUUGAAAGAGUGCGUAAUAGCUCACUGGUCGAGUGGUUGCGCGCCGACAAUUCAGUGGGGCUCAAGUACACCGCCGAAGCCGCGGCAGUAUUUUUGUACUGGGUAGGGGAGCGUCGUAUGUGGGGUGAAGCACGAUCGUAAGGGCGUGUGGACUGCAUGCGAGUGAGAAUGCAGGCAUGAGUAACGAAUGAUACGUGAGAAUCGUAUCCGCCGAAUGACUAAGGGUUCCUGGGUCAAGUUCGUCUUCCCAGGGUGAGUCGGGUCCUAAGGCGAGGCCGACAGGCGUAGUCGAUGGUCAACGGGUUGAUAUUCCCGUACCCGUAUACAUGCGCCCAAUGAUGAACCGGUGAUACUAACCACCCUGACCAUCUGCCAAGGUGAUCUUUGAUCAUCAGGUGGGUGUGAUGCGUGGGGCCUGAUCUGUAGUAGUCAAGUGAUGGGGUGACACAGAUUGGUAGCUACGCCACUUAGUGGAUUGUGGUGCAAGCGUGCGGCACGGCACCUAGUUAAAUGCGGGUGCCAAGUGUGCGAGGCGUGAUGCGUAACCCGAAUGGGGUGAUGGUAGUGAUCCUAUGCUGUCGAGAAAAGCCUCUAGCGAUGUAUGUGUACGGCCCGUACCCGAAACCGACACAGGUAGUCAAGUAGAACAUACUCAGGCGGUCGGGUGAACUGUGGUUAAGGAACUCGGCAAAUUGCCCCCGUAACUUCGGGAGAAGGGGGGCCACAACCGGUGA
rnacentral:rRNA from 1 species